UUUUUUUUUUUUUUUUUUAGAACGAGUCUUGCUCUGUGCCAGGCGAGGCGCAUCACUUUGGAAGGCACAGCACCGCGUUCCAAAGCCCCACUAAAAUGCACAAAGCUUUGUUCCCUUCCUGGAGUCAGAGCUGGUGACUUCCAUAGCCUCAGGCCUCUCUCCAUUCAGAAGCUUUUGCAGGCACCACCCCACCAGAAGCCUGGCUGCGGUUGGCGACUGGGGGGUGGGGUGGGGCUAGAAAGUCAGUCCCCCACCUUUGCUAGUUUGGCCAGGACAUACCCCGCCCCCCACCGCUUGCUCACCCUUUGAGAUUCCCCGCCUCCACCGCUUUGGAAGCUGACCUUUUACUUUACUUUCUUUCUUCCUUUGUUGAGCUUGAGUAGGGGGUACAGGGGUGAGGGUAGCCUGGGGCAACUGGUUUCUCUCCCUCCCUCCUGGAGGCCCCUCCCUCUCUCCCUCGUUGCUUAGGGAACCUCAGCCUUGGCGGGGCCCCUAUUGUUCUUU
rnacentral:lncRNA from 10 species